CUACAGGGAAGGUCGGAAAAUGGGUGCCAAAGACGUGCUCCACAGGCUUCGAUGAUUGCUCGUCCUCGAAGUGCUGCCUCGGAGUGGACCAGCAGUGCUAUAAGAAGAAUGACAACUUUGGGAUGU
rnacentral:ribozyme from 14 species